rnacentral:snRNA from 1 species
AGCCAAAACGCGUUUCUAACAA